AGCAGAUCUUGGGUUGAACUAAUGAGGGAGGGCUGAGAAAUUGGAACAAGCUUGGUUAGAGGAAUAUGUGAGGUUCAGUGCCAUCAACUGUUGGACUGCAGACAUGUCUGUCUCUAAGCAUUGAAUAAAUACUGGAAUUCCAAAGUAAAUGCAGACCUAAGAUAAGAAUAGCAUUCCAGCCUAAUCCUCAGACACCAGUGGUGAAGGGAACACUGCAAACCACACCAAAUAAUUGGAGUGGGCAAGAUCUCUGCUAAUAAUCGCAUAUUAGUGUUCCAUUUCUGCUAGAUAUGUUUCUUUCCCACAUCACAGACUGUCUCAGCCUCCUGCCUUGGGAGGGCUGAACAGAAGCUGAAUCAACUCUAUGGGGCUUUCAUAGUUCAUGAAAGUCCCCAGGCUCCUCAGUGCAUCUUGGCCAUGUUUUGACUUUGUGUUAGGAGACAACGUCUUGUCCAGCUGAGUUUCUAAGGAAGGUGUGGGUAUGCAGGUAUGGGAGGAGAUAAAGUACACUGUGGGUCAUUGUCCAGUGGGGUGUAGUAAGGGGCAAACCUAGGAUGUACCUUAAAAAACACUUUGGACACGGCUUGGACUUGCUUGUCUUGUAACAUAGACACAGCCAAGAGUGAUAGGAGUAGGAAAAAAGCUUUUUUGUGGGAAGAUGUUGGAGAUAGGAAGACUGAUUAGGAUGAAGAAGUAAGAGGAGGAUUUUGGGAACCAGGAAAGCACACGGUCAAUGGUAAAUUAUGUUUAGACAACACAAGGCUGGUUCACUCAGCAGGAUGCAACUCAGAGACCCUGCCAAAGUUCUCUCAUGCAUCCGUGGAGAAAUCAUUUCAGUGUGUGUCAGAUCAGUGGAAUAGGGGCUGCUUCCUUCGGCAACGAAGUCCUGACAGCAGUCGUGGAAAGCAAUGGAUCACUCGAUGUAAUUGAAAGAUGGUAGAACUAAAUCAGAUGAAAUGUAGACAUCGGAGGGCGGUGUUUCAGCAUAUACCUGAGCUAAGGAGGAAACACCCACUGCAAAAUACUCAGAAUGACCCAAUGUAAAGCAAAAGCCAGGGAGAGGUUCUUGCAGAAGCAUCCCAUGUUAUUCUGCUGAAGAUGCUCAGAUUCUUCUGGAGGCCUCUACUCCCUGUCCUGGAUCAUGAACAAAAUGAGUUGACUACUCCAGGACAUUCUACUUCAUCUAAUCAGUGGGCAAACACCCUUCCCAGCUCUGUCUGAGCAUGGCAGGGAGACUCCUCUGUGCACAUAAAAAGCUUUAUGCAACAGAACUGCAUGUUAUCACGUUAAGAAGGGAGUAUUUCUGAGUAUCUUGGCUCUUCCAUAUUUAGGGAAAAGAUAAAUCAGCAUCCUGAGUUGCCAUGGCAAAUAAUAUAGCAGCACCCCUGCGUAAUGCCUCUCUGCAAAUACUUUAAUAUUGAAUGACUGUAAUUUUGCUUUGGAGACUGGAAAAUAGAUUCUGAGACCAACUGAACAGCUGCUGAUGAAAGUCAUUUUGCAGAGGUCUCUUAAGCAUCUCAGCCAGUAAAGUACAAACCAGAAAAGUAAGAAAUGUUACAGCUUGAUUCAGGAUAUGCUAUCAGUGCAUUUACUGGGGAUGUGGGUUUGCUAGUGAUUGAUGGCAGGAAUGACUUCAGUAUAAAUCUCUGUUAUUUAUUAAGUAUUGACAGUGGGAUAAGAGCAGCACAUGGCAGAGUAGUUUCAGCUCUCAGUGCAGGGAUUUCAGUAGCUCUUAGGAGAAGUGCUGCUUCAGGGGAAGUGUUGAAUGUGGUGAACAGCUUUGGAAAACUAACCCCUCUUCCUUUCUCUGAUGCCAUCUCUCUGACUUCUCCAUCUCUCUCUCCCAGUACUCUGAACAGAAGCUCUGUGUUGACAGGAGAGCAUAAAAUGCCUCUCUGUGGCAACUUCAAAGCUCCAUAAAUUAGCCCUUAGUGUGAUUUCCUUCGGAUAGAAUCAGUUGAUACCACCAAAGCUGAAAGACACAAAGAUGGGACCACCUCCCCAAGGCUAUAAGAUAGUAGGAUUCAUCUUGGUUUGCAGGUAUUACCUCCAUUCCAAUCUGAAAGUAUAAAAUGAUGAGGGAGCUGUAGAAAGGCAGGGGGAAAAGGAGCAUCUCUCCUCCCAGAACCAGGAUUCAUAGAAUCAUGGAAUCAUUAAGGGCGCAAAAAACCACUAAGAUCAUCAAGUCCAACCACCAACCUAUCAUCCAUGCCCACUAAAUCAUGUCCCUAAAGAAGGGUCAGCACACAUCCCUGGAGUCAUAGCAGAGCUGGGCUAAAGUUUGGUCUUAGCACCUUCUACACUAAAGGAGAUCAGCCUCAACCAGAUCCUCAGGUUAUAUUCUGGACCAUAAAUGCACUGGAAGGAAUGUUCCUAGUCUUUACCAAAGACACCAAUCACAGCAGCCUGGAGUGGUGGAUUCUGGAUUAUACUCAUUCUCACUGGAGAGCAUUAAUAAAGGGAAAUACAGGAAAUCUAAAUCAUAUCUUCCAGCUCCCCAGUAGAUUAGACUGCUCUGAAUGCUUGUGUUGGGACUCUGGAGAUCCUGGUCCCAAAGCCCAAUGCAUUUAGAAUCUAUUUAGCACCUUUAUCCUGUUGCUGAAUCAGCAUCUUACAGUAGGAUGAAGGAGAAGCAGGUGCUCUCCUCUAUCCAGGCUUUUUGUCUCCUACCUUUUUACAGGUAGUCCUUCACUGUUUCAACACAGAGCACCCGUCCAUUUUCAUUAUGCUCAAGCAUGAGCUGGUUGGGCUGUGAAGGGUGGGAGACUGAUGAUCAAGGAGUUCCAUGUGGGCACACCUGAUUUACUUAUUUUUUUUCUUUGUUUAAACAGCAUGAUCCAGUAAAAAUAAGGUAAAAUAAUCAUAAGGUAAUAAUAAAAGGAAAAGCUGUACACAAGAUCUUCAAAACAAGGCACUCCUGAAACAAGUAGUUCUUCUCCUGUAUCUUGCUGCUGGUAAAAGGUGAUGGAUUUUUUUCCCCUGAAUAAAUAGCAGUGGUAGGUCUCAGAAUAACAUGCCAAGACACUGGUUUAUCUAGGAGAUUUCUCAUUCAUUCCCAGGUCCAGAAUACAUGGUGUGCUUCAACCAGCAGGCAGGCUUGUACUGUCAAUCCUCCCUGUGGUUUUGGUGGCUGAGGAAGCUGGAAAUCGGGAUUACUAGAUAUUCUCCCUGCCCGGCUCCAAUUUUUCUUCCUCUUUUUCUACAUCAAUCACUUCCUUUGAACAAACAUCAUUAACAACCAGAGAUAUGAACCCUUCUAAGGACCUCAGAGCUGGCCAGACAGAUCAGGGACAGGGACUUCAGUGUUGCCUGGAGUGCUUGUACAAAGGAGAAGACCUCAUCUGUACAUAAUGGGUCUAGACUUCAACAUCAAUAAGAGAAUGAUUUUCUUUCUUCUAGGGCAUCUUGCUGAAUACAACAUAGCCAAAGCCUUUGAAGGAGUUGGCCUUGCAUGGCAUGUCAUCAGAUGGUGCUUUUAAUGAGUCAAGCCUCACUCUCCAGAGAUGGCUGGGAUGGGUUCUCCGUGUUCCUAGAGUCAUCAUCUAUGAUUGUGGAAUAAAGAGAAAGAUUUUUCAUGGAUGCAUCUUUCAUGUCCUAGGAAGAGAGUUUUCUCUCAGAACAGCAGACUGCUCUGGAUUGCACACAAAAUCUGAGAAAAUUUCUCAAGUUGGCAAGACCUCCUUUCUUCCUGGAGCCCUCAUUCCUCUUACUUCAAAGCCAGCCCUGCAACGUUAGAUGCAUCAAGAAGAGAACGUAAUUGGAGCUGCAGUUAGCAACAUGGCAGUCCCCAGAUGCAGGGCAUAUUUGCUGUGGAGAUGGCAUUUAAGGCAGGUUUUCAUUAUGUGGAAAGUGUGUAUCCAAGCCAUCCUGCAGGGUGGCGUGGUGCCUGUAUUUACAGUGCUGGCAGCUUUCAAUAGCAAUCUAUUUUUAAUGAAACCAAGCUGGAAUGUGGUGCCUGAACCCUUGAUUUAAGGCAGAUUUCUAAAGGGAAGAUUUACGCAAAUUUGCUUGAUUGGAACUUAAUUAUUGCAACAGUCAAGUUCAGCUCAAAUGAUCUUGCAGAGACAGCCACAGGAGUCAGAUAAUUCAUGUCAGAGAGAAGACAUCAAUUUGCAUUCCUUACAUUUCCAUUUGGAAGGUUUCCUAAUUCUGGAGUAAGCAGGAGGCAUUGCAAAGAAAGCGAAGGGCCAGCGGGACUGGUAGUGGGUUGAUCUGUUCCCCAAAGUCCUCCUGUGAAAGGCAUUGUGUAUGAGUUAUGGCAAAUCCAGUGUCACCAGGAAGGCAAAACACUGUAGACUCGUGCAUCCCAGCACUGCUGAAUGCUGCUGUGAAGCCAAAGGGAUGUUUGGGGGCCCAGGUGUGAAAGGUAAGACAGGUCUUGGUCCUGGUGAACGAGGGACUAUAAUUUGCAAGGUUUUAUUGAUCGUUUUUUUAAAUAGAUUUAUUCAAUUUUAGUUAUGGUGUGGGGAGCCAAAUUUAGGGAAUGGGAGAAGAGCAGAGCCAGCUCCAAGAGUCAAAAAAUGAUGGGCAUAUGCAAUGUUUUAAGUUGCCCUGUGUAACUGGGUUGCCUUUAGCAACUCAAGUUCAUUCUUUCCCAUUUAGUUGCUCUUCAGUGCUUAAAGCAUAAUAGGAAACAAGCUGUCUGGUAUGCCCUCAAAGACAUGAGUCCCUCACCCUCCUACGUAGGGCAUGCCAAUGUGGUAGUGCAGUUAUUUAUGUUAGGAAGGAGAUGCAGGUCUCUCUCACCUCCUUCUGCAUGUUUCAUGGUGGGCAUGAUCCUCUCACCCCUGCACCAUGACCAGUGGCCCCCGGUUCUCACUGGGUUGUGUACAUGAAACAUCACCUUUGGACAGGUUUAAUUGCCAGUGAGCAUCUUCAGAAAGCCUAGAGGAUAUGUUAGUCCUGAUGGGGGAAGUCUCUGGUUUGGAUUUUUGUCAGGGGCAAAAUUUGUCCCCAUUUGCACGUUCUGAAUUUGGACAUUAUUCCUUUUGGGUCUGAUGCAGAAGGGAGGUGUCAGGGAGCAAGGAGUAGGGAGAAUGGCAUCAGGUUGGGAAACCCAGUGAUGCCUUGGCAGGAUGCCUGCUCCCAGCUCGUCUCACACAGUUGGGAGUGAUUAAUGAGACAAAGUUCUCCUCCUUCCCCCACCACAACCCGCUGGGCUGUCCGGGUUGGCGGAGACUGUGGUUUGGGUUUCUCUUGUUCACUCGGCUAAAAUGCAGCUCCGGUGAUGAAGAGGGAGGCUCUUGCUGGAUACACUUCUGCUGUUCUCAGCAGUGUCUUCACCUCCUCAGCUUCUCCACUGCCUCAUGGGCUCCAAGUCUGGUUUCCCUGCCUUCAGCACCGUGUUGCACUUCAGAAAACAGAACAAAGAUAGGAAGGGUGCUCCAAAUACCUGGACGCUGAAAGCUACCUUUCUCUUUGAAGCUGGUUUGUUUUUCCAGCCUUUUCCAAUUUGCAAAUUGGUCAGCACGAUAGGAAUUUCUCUGAUCCUUUCCUUAGCCAAAGGGGGAAGAAGGACAUGCUAUCACUUCUCCUUCCAGAACUCAAAAAGGAAGAGACUUCUAACCAAUCUCUUGAACACUUGAGGCAGAAAUGACACCUCACAUCUGGGUGUUGAGGUUCCACUUGAUUGCAGACCACAGGCUGAGACCUGCUGAAACCUCUGACACCUCCUGUGAUGUAUUCUUCUUCCCUAAACUUCUUCUGUCACAUUCUGAACACAUGUGAAGCACUGGCUGCAUCUGGCUUUAAGAAGCUUAACAUCUCAACUGCAUGUUUGUACCUGUCAUGAGGUUGGAUAUUAGGAUAAAUUUCUUCUCAGAAAGAGUGGUCAGGCACUGGCACAGCUGCCCAGGGAGUGAGGGGGUCAUCAUCCCUGGAUGUGCUCGAGAACGGUGGAGAUGUGGCACUUGGGGAAUGACAGAGGGCAUGGUGGCGUUGGGUUGGAGUUGAACUUGAUGCUCUUCUCCAACCUUAAUGACUCUAUGAUUCUAUGGCCACCAUUUGGUUCAAAAGUCGAAUGCUCAAAACCGAGACUUAAGAUGGCCCAUAAACUCAGCUCUGGAAGGGACCAGCUCACUUAAUCAUAGAAUCAUAGAAUGGCCUGGGUUGAAAAGGACCACAAUGAUUAUCUGGUUUCAACCCCCUGCUAUGUGCAGGGUCACCAACCACCAGAGCAGGCUGCCCAGAUCCACAUCCAGCCUGGCCUUGAACGCCUCCAGGGAUGGGGCAUCCACAACCUCCUUAAUCAAGAUGUAGGAAUCCUUCCAUGGAGACUCAAAUUCUGCUAUAGUCUUCCUUCAUGAUGCUGGGCAAGUCAACCCAAACUUUACCAAGAGAGCCACAAAUUCUUGCUUUCAGUGAAUGUGGCUUGAGAUGCUGAGAUCUAAUCCAGCACGGAGCUGAGCAGUUAACAACAUCUGGGCUUUUCUGGGAGAUAAUGUGGAAUAUAAUCAGUGCUAGCUCUCCUGUAGUUUCUUAGAAUUGACAAGUGGGUUGAAAACAAGCUGGAAGAUAAAUGUGUGAAUGGAUGAAGCACUCCAUGGAGAACAAACUACAUUCUACAAUUCCUAAGGAGAUCUGGAUAAGAAUAAAUAAUGGAAGAAAGAUGGCCUGCAUAGUCCGAGAGCAGAGGAAAACCUGACUGUCCCCCAGCUGUGGCAUGGCCAGCUCUCCCAUGCUCUCCAUGGAGGGGCACCACAUCCAACGCUGGACAUCACAUCCAGGAGAGCAUCUCGAUCCCGCUCCCAUCUGCACCCCGUGGUGCAAGUGGCUCUUUGAGGCAGCAGAUCUCAGCAUCCAGAGUUGGAGACAACAAGACCUGAUUUUGCACUCAAGACAAAGCCUUCAAGUCAGGGCAGCUGCUUCAUCCGAAAUCUUUAAUGCAAAGCAGAGCUUUGGGACAGAUCCGUGCCUGGGGCCGAGCGAUGCAUCUUGCUAGCAGACAGAGCCGCUGCGGGCUGGGCCCUCUUGCUGAAGGCUCAUUUAAUUUGAAACUUGCUGCUCUGUCAGGGCCUAGAGCCACCAAUCCCCUGGGCACAGUGAGAUCCAUCUGUUUACCAAGCUCUGCACGUCCAGGGCAUGACAAGGAACUUGGCCGGGCCGGGCCGAGCGGGCUGGUUUGAAUCUUGCCUCUUUCUUGUGGGAUCGUGUCGGGGGAGAAGUGAAUCCAGAGAUGGGCUUUGAUGCUGGCACUUGCUGGCAGCAUGCUGCAAAUGUGGACGGGUGGUUCCCGCGCUGCAAAUGUGCUGUGGGCAUGGGCAGCGGGCACAGCGACACUCAGAUAAAUUAAAUAUUUCUCAGGAAUGGGGUGGGGACGUCAACAGAACCUCUGCCUUAUGCAACUGCCGCCAGCACUACAACAGAUUCAAAGCAGCUGCUGUUGGCUUUCCCUCUUUGCUUUCAUAAAGUGGUUGUUUGUGUGCUGGAUCCUGAUGGAUGAGGCGGUGGGGGAGGGAGAAAGGGACGUGUGUGAGGGAAGCACGAGGGUGGCUGGGUGAAGGGAUAGUGCCCACAUCUGCUGUUGUUGGCCAGGAAUUGAUGGACAGCUUGAAGCUCGGCCAACCCUAAAGGAAGAGCAGUCCUCUUGUGAGCCCAUGCAAGGACAGAGAGCUGAGGAAGUCCAUGGAGGGCCGUAAACAGGGAGUGGUAGUACUGAGCCAAAAGGAUAUUCCUGGAAACACCAACUGGAGAAAGAUGUUUCCAUUGAUGCCAGACAAGAUGCAGCUCCUAGUUGCUGAGGCACAGGAUGAGUGCAGUGAGAUCUUUGACUCAAAUAGAAGGAGAAGGAUGAUAUUGUUGGGGUAUCGAGAAGUUUUAAACUGAGACAGGGGAGGUUUAGGUUGGAUAUUAGGAAGAAGUUUUUCACCCAGAGGGUGGUGAAGCACUGGAACAGGUUGCCCAAGGAGGGUGGAUGCCCCAUCCCUGGAGGCAUUCAAGGCUAGGCUGGAUGUGGCUCUGGGCAGCCUGGUCUGGUGGUUGGCGACCCUGCACAUAGCAGGGGGGUUGAAACUAGAUGGUCAUUGUGAUCCUUUUCAACCCAGGCUAUUCUGUGAUUCUGUGAUUCUAAGUAGAAUCACAGACUCAUAGAAUAUCCCAGGUUGGAAGAGGUCCAUAAGGACCACUAAGUCCAGCUCCUGGCUCCGCAUAGGAUCACCCAAAUUCCAAACACUAUGGCUGAGUCCAUUGUCCAAACUCUCCUUGAACUCCAGCAGCUUAGGGCCAUGACCACGGCCCUGGGGAGCCUGUUCCAUGCCCACUACCCUGUAAAUAAUAAAUAAAUAAAAGAAGGGCAAGAAGUAGGAGAAGUGGUAAGUUCCUGCCAGUGGCUAUGGCUCUGUGUCUGUGCCUUGCAGGGUAGCCCAGGUUGAAUUUUCUAUCUCAUCUCAGAAACAAGAUCUCCAGCAUGCAGCACUGUAGCAACAGCCUGGACUAAAAAUUUAAAACCCAAGCAUGGAGGAAUGGACACUACCCAUUCAGGCCCUUUCCCAACCCAGAUAUGCUUGCCUUCAGCCACAUAUUGUUGCCUUUUUUUCCUUUUUUUUUUUCAGCCCCGGUAUUCACCAGCUUCUUUCUAUUCAAAUAACACUGAAACACGCUCAUAUGAGGGUGAGCAUGUCUUUACAUAUAACUAGUAUUUCAGCAAAACCCCAGGAGCAAUCAAAUCAUCACUCAAAUAGAGACACUCCAGCCAGAUAUCCACAAAGAAGUCUUUUCCAUCAUUCCAGGAAAUCAUCCCUCAGCUGUCUCCAGUAAUCCUAUUGUGAAUAGAUGUCUUUUGCCACUUUCCCAGAAUGUCCACAAAUGCAGGGGGUUUUGGAUCCAGGGAGGACAGCACAGGAAAACCAAGAUUUAAUGCCUCAAUGGAGGCAAAGAAAUUGCCCUGCCAGCCAUCUCUCUAUGCAUACUGAGGUGGAAUGAGACCCAGCCCUACCAAAGAGGCAGAGAAGUAAUUUUACUGAGCUUCUUCAGGCCUCAACUAGCCUUUAAACACAUAAUUGGUGCAGUUUAAGUGUUGCUUGGUUUGACAGAGGCCUUCGGAAUCACAUUCAUGAUGGGACUCGGAGAAAGGGUGUUAGCCAAAGGCUGCAAAGGGGUUUGAGUAUUCAUAUCCUUUGCAUUCAUUUCAAGUCCAGCUCUUCCAUUGCACUGGGUAAGGAACUGACCGUGGAAUGUCUGCAGUGGAGAACACCUCCCAGCACAACAGCUCUCCAUUUCUAGAGGCCGGGCUUUAUCUGCUCAUGGUUGCUUUGUAUUUUGCUCUUUGAGGUGGUAGCCACAUGCAUAAGGUCUCCUGGUUUUGCUUGUUUCUCUGAGCAACGAGCUCAUUGCAGAGCUGUGUAUGCUAAAAAAAAGGAGCCUACAUGGCCAUGGUUUCAUUUUACUCUUUGAGCUUCCCUGGUGGGAAGAUAAAAAUGAGGAAGAGUUUGCUCUGUGUGUUGGGUUUCUUACCAUUCUGAUAUUUGCUUCAGAUCUUUUUCCAUUAGAAAAGCUUUGCACAGGGAGCUAGGGCCCACCAAGAGCUCAGACCUCACCCACACAUCUAAGACAUCCUUCCUACCUUCAAUCCAGUGACCAUUUUCUUAGGAGUGGCAGGAAAUAAGCCCAGGAGGACACUGCUCACUGCAGCCCUCUUGCACCUGGGGUCAGGAUGUGGAACCAGACAGAGACUUCUUGCACGAACUCAUUGAACCUCUGAAUCAUUGCCCUUGUCCUCAAUGGACUUCCUCAGCAAAGGAAGGUCCAGAUAUGGGUCUGUUUCAGGGGUGGACACUGCAUGCUGAGGGCUUAGGUCACCAGGUCUACUUAGUCUACCUAGAUUUGCAGUGAUAAACAUGGUGGACAGUGGGAAUCUUCUCCUUGCCCUACCUCUUCCAGGGAGAAACUUUCCCAUUUGUUUGUCUGUCAGUUUCUCCCCACUGACAAGAGAUGCUGGCAGUGUGUCCCAUCCCCAUAACAUACUUAUCCUGGAGCUUUUUCUUUCCUGAGGACAGAACAUGGGGUAGGUCUGAGCCUCUCCAAGUACAUUAGAAGUAUUCUGCGAAGAGGUACAAGCUGAAGCCUUUCUCCCUCUGCAUUUUCCCUUCUGAUUAUUAAGUUCAGGAUUAGCAUUUUGGAUUAUGAUUAUAUUUAUUGCAGUUUCACUCUUGUCUUAGUUCUGCUUUCACAUUAAAGUGUGUUACAUACAUCCAAAUUCCCAUGUGCUGGUCAGCUCAAGGGUUGUAGGGUUGAAACCUGUUCUGUAAAGCAGCUGCUCAAGAGCUCCUAAGUGGGAAGUGUGACUUUCCUUGGCCAUUGUUCUGUCCCCCUUUUGUUCAGCAUCUCUUCCCUUUAUGUCGGUAGAAGCAUUGGUUGAGAACUGCUGCAAGGGGAGGCUCUGGGCUGCCUUAAUGCAGAGAGCAGGCUGAAAGGCUGUGCAGGAGGCAAGGCAGCUCUGCCCACUUUAUCUGGGCACUGAAGGGCUUGGAAUAAAACACAGAGAUGAAAGGGUGUUUCAAAUAAGAACCUAUUGUACCUUCUCCCUUGCAAUCAUUUUCCAGGGCCUUUGAAGGUAACUUAGUUGCUGUCUUGAUCAAAUAUUCCUCAAGCAGAAAUAAACCCUUCCUAUUAACAUCCAAGGUCUUACCUUGUUUACUCAUAACACUCCUACUCAAGUGUGGAACGCUGAGUGUGAAUCAGUUCGAUUUUCUUUUUUUUUCCAUUGCAGCAUUUCUAUUUCUGAUACAUCACUUUCCAAACCGGAGUGUAAUUUUUUUUUUACCAAACCAAACCCCAAACACUGGAAGAUAUUUGAAUCACAGAACCAUAGAAUCAUUAAGGCUAGAAAAGACCUCUAAGAUCAACAAGUCCAGCCGUCCACUAUCACCAGUAUUGCUCACUAAACCAUGUCCCAGAGAACCCCUUUGCUCUGAACACACAGUGUAGGUCUAAGAGCACACCAGCUCCAUGGCACUGGAGAAAUCACCUAGAAGGCCAGUGCUGCAAUUUGUAACACGGAUACAUAGCAGACAUUUAAGGAGGUUUAUCCAUCAGAAAAGGGCCAGCAUGGAGAGAUAUCUCUCUCCUUAUCACCUAAUGGACAGCUCUGGGACCGCCUGUAACAGCUCUUGUGCCCAUGAUGUGGUCCUUGUGCAAGACAGUGUGUUUGUGGGACCAUUGGUGCAGAGAAAGGGAGACAAAGCCAGCCACAUCAAAGCUCAGAGAGGAAAGGUGCAAAGUGUGCUCCUGGAGGGAGCAGCUCAGCAUCCCCUCUGCUGUUGACCCCAUUACUUGUGGAGAACCUGAUGCCACUUCUCAUCUUGGGUGUCUUUCUGAUGGAAAAGGAAGCUUAAGCCCGUGGUCACAGAGGAUGUGAGGAGAGAUCAAGGGUCAGGACAGCUGAGAACAGUGUGGAGUCUUAAAAUGAUGUUAAAAGCAUGAGGAAAAAAAAAAACAAAACACACACACACAAAAAAACCAACUUAACUAUUAUAUUGAGCCAUUACCAGAUAAUUGAAAUGGAAAACAGCGCCGAUAAUAAUGAAGGCAGAAAAGUUCCAUAAAUAUUUCUGCUCUGAACUUGGGAAUAGCUAGAUAAUGCAAUCACGGAUUACACCUAGAUGGUGAAAUGCUUUCCAUUCCAACAGUAACCCCCUAAUGGGGGCUCGGGCAGCUAUUAAUUCCUGACACGACUGCAUCUGGAUAACUGCACCCAAGAGUUUUAAAAGGGCCACCAGAGGAGGUCUCUGGAAUAUU
rnacentral:lncRNA from 1 species